GGGGCUGCGGGAGCUGUGGCCGCGGGUGCCACAAGCCUGUGGGCUGUGCCGGCAACGAGGAGACCCAGGCGUGCGAGGGCUUGUGCGGCGCCUGGAAUUUAUGACAAAUAGCUCACUGCAGCUAAACUUUGAUCCAGUGUUACAGUCGAGCCGCCUGUUACACACAGGAGGGAGAUCCGUCCUGCAUCACAAUGAAAAGCCAGCCUUAGAGAGAGAGAGAGAGAGAGAGAGGGAGAGGGAGAGGGAAAGGGAGAGGGAAUGUGUCAGGUUUAUAAUUACAGACUGGUGAGUAUCUGACGCUAGAUCAAUUUCAGUGUGUGUGUGUGUGUGUGUGUGUGUGUGUGUGUGUGUGUGUUCGUUCUUCAAGCAUCCGGAGGUACGUGCCCUUUUUUGCUGUUUUAAUGAUGCAAAGAUCUGAGUUGGCGCUAACGCGUGGGAGGGGACCCGGGUCCCUUGGAAGGAGGAUGCACCCCCUCGCAGCCCCGGGCCCGGGGUGCGUUCCCAGCCCAGAGUCUCCGCACUGCACAGACAAAGGAGCCAGCGCAGACAACCAGAGGAGGCUGUAGCUUUUCUUGGAGCGAUGACUCAUUUCGGUUCACAAAGGAUUCUGGGCAGGGUAGUGAGAAGUCAGGUUGGCUGAUCCGUCCCUAUGACUUCACUUUGCAGAGAACAAGGCAGAAGAGGAGUGAUACUGCAGAUUCCCGAGGCACUGCAGUGCGAUACUGGCUCAGUGCGAGUGGCUGUGAUGUAUGAGAUAGGCACGGGACAGACCCCAGCUGUCCCAUGCAAAUAGGAGGAAAGACUGGUAAAGAGGAUCUGUUUGUUUGUUUUUUCUUCUAAAAUCGUUACCAGCAAAGUACAUUCACAGAGCCUUUUUAAAGGUGCUUCUUGCCAGCUUUUGAACCGAACUUGAACCAGUAUGUCGAGCCCCGAAUUGUAAGAAGAGCUGAGAGUUCUGGAAAACUCAGUUUUUAAAAGUAGACCUCCGAAGGUAAAGUACCAGAUUCCUGUUAUGUUCCACGUGCCCUCAGUAGCCAAUCUGAAAUGCUCAUAUUUAGGAUAUUAUUACUCGAAGGUUUACUCUUUCUUCUUAUUCCAGAUUCUAGACGUCCGUUUCUGUCACUGGCUCCUCCUUGUGCCUGGAUGCAG
rnacentral:lncRNA from 1 species